CUCCUACACCUCUUUACAACACGGGGGAAGGGGGUGUCGGGCAAGACUUUGGGUCUGCCGAAGGCACCGAAGCAGCUCCUGCCGAGUAUCAAAAGACGCUACACAAUAUGGGCGAAGUUGUGAAUCCGCACAAGAAGGGCAAGCGAAUUGCAGUGAGAAUGGAAAAUAAACUGAUCGGGAAUAGCAUAGAAAAUUUAAAAAGAAGGGGAAAAAACGAGUUAAUGAUAUAUGCUGACUGUAAUGGAGUGGCGGACAUGAUAAUGAAACUCGGAAACGCUUUCAAAAAUGAUGAAUUUUGUUGAGUUGGUGUAGUUUAAUAGUUAAGGUAUUCAGUGAGAACCAGAUUCAGGUGCCAUCUCUCCUUAAAAAUCACGAGGUGACUUGGGGCCAGUUUUAGUCAGCUCAAUCUGUCCAACCGAAUGGAUAUGGAAAUUAAAUGGAGAUCCAAAUAUGUCAAUUUCUGGCCCAUAGGAUGAUGAUGAAGAUGACAACUCAAAAAAGUGGAGAGUCCCCAAGCAACAAUAUUUUAAAAAAGCCAUGAUUGAAAUAAUAACAGUGAGAUCGGUUGGGAUUCACACUUGAAUAUAGGGACCAUGAUGAAGGCCUUGCAAGAAAAUCACAAAUUUAAAAAUAAAGCCAUGUUCAUUUAACUACUCUAGGAAAACAUAUUUCAAAACAUGAAACCAAUAAAAGUGUAUGCAUUCUCCAAAUAACUUCUAGAUGAUGGAACACAGGUAUGUUGACCUGCAAGGUAAUCUGUAAAUUAGGCAUUCUGGCUUCAAUAAACUACUGUGGUGUGACUGUG